rnacentral:rRNA from 1 species
UACGUAGGGGGCAAGCGUUGUCCGGAUUUAUUGGGCGUAAAGAGCGUGUAGGCGGCCAGGUAGGUCUGCUGUGAAACUCGAGGCUCAACCUCGAGAUGUCGGCGGAAACCAUCUGGCUAGAGUCCGGGAAGAGGAGAGUGGAAUUCCUGGAUGUAGCGGUGAAAUGCGCAGAUAUCAGGAAGAACACCCGUGGCGAAGGCGGCUCUCUGGGACGGUACUGACGCUGAGACGCGAAAAGCUGGGGGAGCGAACAGG